AUGAAGAUGGAAGUUGAGACCUCGGGGGAAUCCCCUAGCCCAGGUCCUCCUGGUGCGGAUGAUGGCGGCGCAUCCGACGUCGCGGCCCUUGUUGAAGGCAUCAUCUCGGGGUCUGCUUGGUUGACGUGUGGGUGUUGCUGCAGGGAUGUUGGUGGUAGGUGGUGCGACCGGUUGGGUCGACGGUGGUAUGUGUUCGUCUGUGGUGGUGUUCGUCGGUGUCGCCCUGUUUGCUGUGCAUGCUCAAGACCUCCAUGGCUACCGUUGUGGUGCAGCGAGCUUCGUGCUCUUGGCGUUGUCCCGGUUCAUCUUUGCUCAAUGAUGCCGCAAGUUUCCUCCCCAACUUGCUAA
rnacentral:rRNA from 1 species